AUUUAAAAGAAGAAAAACUACCACAACAAGAGGACAUAGUCUUAAAUUAGAGGGACAAAGGUUUAAAAAUAAUAUCAGGAAGUAUUACUUUACUGAGAGGGUAGUGGAUGCAUGGAAUAGCCUUCCAGCUGAAGUGGUAGAGGUUAACACAGUAAAGGAGUUUAAGCAUGCGUGAGAUAGGCAUAAGGCUAUCCUAACUAUAAGAUAAGGCCAGGGACUAAUGAAAGUAUUUAGAAAAUUGGGCAGACUAGAUGGGCCGAAUGGUUCUUAU